GGCCUGGUGGUGUAGUGGUUACAUAUCCUCUUAAAAUGUGUUGUAGGUGAACGUGUUCUGAGGAAGAGCUCUGUUCAAUUCGGGGUCAGGCCA